rnacentral:rRNA from 1 species
UACCGAUCGGUGGUUUAGAAAGUCAGAAGUGAAAUCUCUCAGCUCAACUGGGAGACUGUCUUUUGAAACUUCUAAACUCGAGGGGCAAAGAGGAAGCCGGAACAAGCGGUGUAGUAGUGAAAUGCGUUGAUAUCGCUUGGAACACCAAUAGCGAAGGCAGGCUUCUGGGUGCCACCUGACACUGCUAGGACGAAAGCGUGGGUAGCGAAUGGGAUUAGAUACCCCAGUAGUCCACGCUGUAAACGAUGCACAUUAGGCGCUAGGGAGUAUCGACCCUUCUUAGUGCCAAAGCUAACGCGUUAAAUGUGCCGCCUGGGGAGUACGGCCGCAAGGCUAAA